rnacentral:rRNA from 1 species
UACGAAGGGGGCGAGCGUUGUUCGGAUUUACUGGGCGUAAAGGGCGCGCAGGCGGCUCAUUUUGUCAGGCGUGAAAGCCCCGGGCUUAGCCUGGGAACUGCGUUUGAUACGGAUGGGCUAGAGUUCGGGAGAGGAGAGUGGAAUUCCCAGUGUAGAGGUGAAAUUCGUAGAUAUUGGGAAGAACACCGGUGGCGAAGGCGGCUCUCUGGACCGAGACUGACGCUGAGGCGCGAAAGCGUGGGGAGCAAACAGGG